AUGGACAUUCCGCUGCCGGGCGGGGGCGGCGAGGUCUCGGAGGACUACUCCCCGGCGGCAACCGUGGUGCCCUUCGACCCGCCCCUCCCUCUGCUUCGCGCGCCAGUCCCUUCCUCUCCCUCCGCCGCCUCCGCCGACCCCCCCGUCCUCGCCUUCCGCGACGCCGCGAGCUGGCGAGCCGCCUGGGAGGCUGCCGAGGCCAGCCUCUUCUCCCAGUGCGAGGCUGGUGCACGCUCUGGCUGUUCAAUCACUGCAACACGAAAAUGCAAGCCCCCCUGGUGGAAAGGUUUGUUUGGAGGUGCAACAACCAACUAUCAAGAAAGAGAAGAAUGUGAAGAACGAGAAAUGGCUUCUUGUCUUGAAUCAGCAAAGGAGGCUUGCAUUAAGUUUUCAAAGCAAAAAUGUAAUGCACCGUUCCAAGAUGCAAGGAUUGCCUCUGAAGGUCUCCUUGAAAAUACAGAUUUUGUUGUCUGGGAUGCUGGGCGUAACAAGACAGCAUCAGCAUCCUUGUCCAAUCCUGGGCCUGGUGGCACAAACUACAAAGGGAGUGACUUGCUAGACAGCUUAGCAUCUGAAGGCAAUAGCAACUCAGGGCAAUGA
rnacentral:rRNA from 1 species